UGAGUGAUGUAAACGAAAUGAAAUGAAUGGAACUGACCACAUGGAGAUGGCAGAAGGAAAGCACCUUCGUUAUAUAAAAAAGAAACCUGAGCCCCUCCUGCUGCUGCUACAGCAGCUUCGUCCAAUAAAAACAGGCCCUGUUCCAGCUGCUAACAAGAGCCCAAGGGUGUGGAGAGGUCACCAGCUCCCAGAGAGACUGCUAAAACCCCGGGGUCAAAAGCUGAUGGGGGAGAAAUACAGGUCCCUGAAACUCCCGGUGGUCAGGGAAUGAAGGAGGGUGGGUCUCCUCAAAGUUCACCACCAACCUAAGCAUACAGAAUUUCAACUUCUCUUUCUGCUCCAUUGUCCUCAGACCCUACAACACAUAAAUGGCUUUCAUAAAAAUUCCAGCAGUAUAUGCAAUAGAUUUUGCUAUUUGGAAAAUUCUCAUGUCUGGCCUGUGUAGACCUUUCAUUUUGUCUUUUUUUUCUUUUUUUUUUUACUUUUCAACAUUUUAGCUGAAAAUGGAAAAGUCAAUUAUAUUUCUGAUGCUGCUUGAAUUCCCAGGGAAACUCACUAGAGGCAUCAGAGAUUUGGUCUACGGUGGCUUCUGUUUCUGGAACAGUGGUUUGCCCUGUGACGUCAAUUCUCUGAUGAAUCUAAGAAGAGCUGUCGAUUUUAGUUUGUUCGGCUUUCUUCUUGUUGUGUGGACAGGAGUGAUGACGUUCUAGCUCCUUACAUGCCCAACUGGAAACUGGAAGUUGUGAUGUAAGACUUUCCAUGGCUUUCUCCUGUCCUUCUCCAUGACCAGAUAGCACAUAUGUGAUCUGAAACUUUAAGAAAAUCCCAGUGCCUCAGCAUCAUUGUCCCAAGUGUGGUAUAAAAAUAGUUGUCAUUUCUAGCUAAGACGUGUCACAGUUUGGGAAUUUGUAUUCCUUAUAUGAUUUACAAAUCUAUUUCUUCUCCAAGUUUAAUGUAUGUUAUAAUAGCAAUGCAUGUAAAAUGUAAUAGCUGCAAAAUAUUUAUGAAAUUAAAACGUGUUUGGUGGGGGCUUCCCUGGUGGCGCAGUG